AGUCACUGACAUUAGAUACCCCCGUAGUCCAGGGUGUAAACGCUGCGGGCUUGGUGUUGGGGGUCCUUAGUGGGCGCCCAGUGCCGGAGAGAAGUUGUUAAGCCUGCUGCUUGGGGAGUAUGUCCGCAAGGAUGAAACUUAAAGGAAUUGGCGGGAGAGCACCGCAACGGGAGGAGCGUGCGGUUCAAUUGGAUUCAACGCCGAAAAACUCACCAGGAGCGACGGAUAUAUGAAGGUCAAGCUGAUGACUUUACCUGAUUUUCCG
rnacentral:rRNA from 1 species